GAUGAACGCUGGCGGCGUGCCUAACACAUGCAAGUCGAACGGGAAGGUGAACUUCGGUUCACCGGAGAGUGGCGCACGGGUGAGGAACACGUAACUCAUCUGCCCCGAAGACCGGGAUAACGCACCGAAAGGUGUGCUAAUACCGGAUAAGCUCCCACGUUGUAGAGACGUGCGAGAAAAGCUCCGGCGCUUUGGGAUGAGGCUGCGGCCCAUCAGCUAGUUGGUAGGGUAAAAGCCUACCAAGGCAACGACGGGUAGGGGGCCUGAGAGGGUGACCCCCCACACUGGGACUGAGACACGGCCCAGACUCCUACGGGAGGCAGCAGUGAGGAAUAUUGCUCAAUGGGCGCAAGCCUGAAGCAGCGACGCCGCGUGGGUGAUGAAGGUUUUCGGAUCGUAAAGCCCUUUUCUUGGUGACGAUUGUGACGGUGACCAAGGAAUAAGUGUCGGCUAACUACGUGCCAGCAGCCGCGGUAAAACGUAGGACGCAAGCGUUAUCCGGAAUUACUGGGCGUAAAGCGCGCGCAGGCGGGCUGUCAAGUCAUGCGUGAAAGCUCCCGGCUAAACUGGGAGAGGUCGGAUGAGACUGGCGGUCUGGAGGCGAUCAGAGGAAUGUGGAAUUCCGCGUGUAGUGGUGAAAUGCGUAGAGAUGCGGAGGAACACCAGUGGCGAAGGCGGCAUUCUGGGGUCGUCCUGACGCUGAGGCGCGAAAGCAUGGGUAGCGAACGGGAUUAGAAACCCCGGUAGUCCA
rnacentral:rRNA from 1 species